GACGAACGCUGGCGGCGUGCCUAAUACAUGCAAGUCGAGCGCAGGAAACUGACGGAACUCUUCGGAGGGAAGGCAGCGGAAUGAGCGGCGGACGGGUGAGUAACACGUAAGGAACCUGCCUCAAGGAUUGGGAUAACUCCGAGAAAUCGGAGCUAAUACCGGAUAGUUCAACGGACCGCAUGGUCCGCUGAUGAAAGGCGCUUCGGCGUCACCUUGAGAUGGCCUUGCGGUGCAUUAGCUAGUUGGUGGGGUAACGGCCCACCAAGGCGACGAGGCAUAGCCGACCUGGGAGGGUGAUCGGCCACACUGGGACUGAGACACGGCCCAGACUCCUACGGGAGGCAGCAGUAGGGAAUCUUCCACAAUGGACGAAAGUCUGAUGGAGCAACGCCGCGUGGGUGAUGAAGGUCUUCGGAUCGUAAAACUCUGUUGUAAGGGAAGAACACGUACGAGAGGAAAUGCUCGUACCUUGACGGUACCUUACGAGAAAGCCACGGCUAACUACGUGCCAGCAGCCGCGGUAA
rnacentral:rRNA from 1 species